GAUAGAUCGUGGAAAUUGAUAAAGAUGAAGGCUGGAUCUUGUAUAUCGGUAUAUUUUGCCGUUAUAAUUUGAAAUGUAAUCGCGAAAGGAAAUCGCGGUCUGGCACCGGGUACCGUGUGCACUAAAUAUACAAAACGGUGUCGUUGGUUAAUAAGCUACGAAACUGGGCGCAGGAGCGCUCUUCAGGUAACAGUAAAUACGCGCCAAGUACUAAAAUUUGCAUUUAACUACCGCGGCCAAUUUGAAUACCUAAUUUUAAUACGUAACCGCAUAAAUUUAUGAUAAUUACUCUUCUUAGCGUUAUUUGAACGUUGCCCAUAAGAGGCGUGUAUUUAACACGUGCCGCGCUCUGUAAUUAGACGAUUUCCGGUUUUCUUUUCUUUUAUAUCGAUUUUUUCGCCGUGUAUUUUUCAAUUGGACAUCGGCGAAAAAAGAAAAAAGAAAAAGUAAAUAACUUGGGUUUUAAUUGCUAUUAAUUAAAACCUUUCGGAUUUAUCGUUUCCAUUUUACAACGUUUCCAACUGCCAUCCUCAAACUAUUGGAUUUCGCUUUAAAUCCUCGAAAUACUCGAUUAAUCGUUCGAUUUUUCACUCUUUAUUUAUUUAUUUUUUCUCUUCGCUGGUUCAAAAAAAUUUUCAAUCAAUUUUUCUUUCCAACAAGAUCAUUGAUAAUGCAAGGAUAAGAAGGAUAUAAUGAAAAAAAGCUCGGCGAAAAUGAAAAUCGAGGGACAAACAAAUAAUUCAAUCCGGCCAAAAUUCUCGAUCAAACGCUCUCUCCGAUAUACACCGAUCAUCGAAAUGGGGUACGGAAAAGGCAUGGAGAACUCGUUGGCACAGCGCCAUCUUCGUACUCCAUAUUCCUCUUUAUGCCAUCCUCGCGUCGUUUCUCUCCCCCCUCCCCUCCUCUCUCUCUCUCUGAUCCACGAAAAUUUCUCGCCCCACAGUUUGUUAGCUUCGCGUGGAACGUUCUUCGUUUUGGCGAUUUUCGAGGCCGGAAAAUCCGUGCCGCCUCGCACCUGUCGGCCCGAUACGCGUCUUCUCUGAUGCAUAUAUGCAUAAGCAUUUAUGCAUAAUCGCAUCGUGACCCCACGACUCGAAACGGAUCGUGUUACGUGAUGGCCGUCCGCGAGAAUUCUAUUCCACCUUCCUUCCGAACGGAAACCGCUAUUUGCCCGAUCGAUUCCGAUCAGAUCGACUUUGGAAAUCGGGCCGUUGGACCAGUUUUUUAGGAGAUACGAACGUGCUAGGCUUUUUUUUAUUUGUAAUUUUGUGGUUUUAUAAUUCGAGUAUUUAUUAAUAAAUAAUAAAAUAAAGUAGGUGAAGAAUUUCGAUGGAGAUGUAAUUUUUAAUAUUUAAUAUUUCGUGUAUAUUGUAAAUUCUUAGAGUUUUGUAAAAUAAAAGAUAUCGUCCUGCAAAUUUAUUAAAUUUGAUUGUUUAAAUUUGUUUAGGACAAAAAUUUUGAAGAGAAAUAUCGAGAGAACGAGAAAAUAUUGUUAUUUGUGAGGUAAAAUUUCUAUACGCUUUGUAUUGAAAACAUAUGCGUUGCAUAACGUACGAAACGAAUAGGUACGAAAAUAUAAACAUAUCGUCGAAACGUUGCACGAUGUAAACAUACUUUAAUUCGUACACUUCCGAGAAACACACACGCUUUUGUUUUCCCCUUCCACCAAAACAGAUCACACGUCCUUAUUGCGUAUAAUCGUUCUACAGUCUCUAUUCGACUUUCAAGUGGUUCUCACGUUUUUCGUAUUGCGCGUUCAAUUUUAUAAAAGUGUUUCGUUAUUUCGGCAAAUAUUUCGUUCCAAGCAAUUAUUUUUUAACAACGUGAAAUGUAUAAGAUAACAAGAUUGGAUAGAAUAUCGCUGCAUCGAGAAGAACUUUCUAAUUUUCAGAGGUUAGAUUCAACGUGAUCGAAUAAAGUACGCGAAUAAAGAGCAUCGUAACGUUCCUUUAUAAAUUUGUGUUCGAUUUUACAAUAGUGGAAAAUAGUGUUUCGUUAUUCGGCAAAUAUUUCGUUCCAAGCAAUUAUUUUUUAACAACGUGAAAUGUAUAAGAUAACAAGAUUAGAUGGAAUAUCGCUGCAUCGAGAAGAACUUUCUAAUUUUCAGAGGUUAGAUUCAACGUGAUCGAAUAAAGUACGCGAAUAAAGAGCAUCGUAACGUUCCUUUAUAAAUUUGUGUUCGAUUUUACAAUAGUGGAAAAUAGUGUUUCGUUAUUCGGAAAAUAUUUCGUGUCAACGUAGAAGCAAUUAUUUUUUAAUAACGUGAAAUGUGUAACAAUUGGAUGGAAUAUCUUAUCGAAUAUCCUUGAGAAAAAUUUUCGAGAGUUUCAGAGGUUAGGUUCAACGUGAUUCGACAUGAUCGAAUACAAAAGUACGUGGAAGAGUAUGGCAAUGUCUUUUUUUCUAUCCUUUUAUAAAUUUUCAUUCCAACUGCUUCAUUAUUCAAAAUUCUUCGAUAUUAUUUAUUUCUUACGUGAUUCAUAUUGUUCUUAAAUCUCAACUGUUUAAUUUGCGUAUCAGUCAUUAGUUACAAAUAUUCAAAGAGAAUAAUAGAUAAAUAAAAUCCUGUCGGGACAAAAUCGAAAGAACGUAAAUAAAAGGAUGGAGGAAAACACGUUCCAUUUAUCGUUCGUGUGAUCAAAAAAUUCGACAAAAUUCCGGUAUGCAUCGCUAUUUCGAAUAUCGAUGAAACUAUUUAACCGCGUGUGUCAUUAUACGGAGAUGGAAUCGAGUGCACGAUUUCGCAGUAGCAGCAGAUGUCGGCGGUUUCGGCCAAUAUCGACGUUUCUGAUAGUCGAUUAUUGAAAUACAGUUCGUCGCGCUUUACCCAAGAGUUUCCUAAUAGGACGAUUCUCCUCGACGCUGCUUUCAGAAGUACUUUACCGAACACGUUAUUUUCCGCUACAACCGACUUUAACGUUACUUCCAAUCGACUUUGAGGUUAAUAGUUGUUUAACGUCAGUUUGCCUACCGCUUUCGCUACAUGGCCGAGAAAAACGAAGUAUCGGAUGAAAAGAAUCGAACGAAAUUACCUUCGAUUGGACAACGCCAAUUUUUAUUCGAAUUCGUGUUUAUUCAUUCGCGCGUGAAUACACGAUUCGAAUCUUUUUAGGUUAAUUUAAUCUCCCGUAAAAAUAGAUACGGAGACAAAGGGGGAUAGGCAAAACGAAACGAAACUUUCUCCCAAAUAAUUUCGGCGGAAUCGUUUGGCGGCGUUGGGCGCCUCCCCCUAUUUUCGGCCGAAUUUCAUUACACUGCGCGUUGUAUCGCGAAAUUUAUGUUCGAGCUUAAAUUAGAAUAUCAGAUUAUCAAAUUCUGGAAAGUUGGUAAUUCCGGUAUGCACGGGAUCGGGCACGGGUGCCGCUUUUACGACAACGCAACCAGGCAACAUUAAUUAAACACAAAUAAAUGUAACUGGAUUCCCGAAUUUGCGGCGGGGCGAAAGCAAAUCCGUUUUAUCCGUUUAACGCCUGAACGUUGUAAAAUUACUUGGAAAAACGAAGUAGAAAUUUGUCGAAUUAGAAGUUGGAGAGAGAAAGAGUGAGACAGAUGCAUUUGUCAACAACUGCGAGAAACUUGGAUUUAAAAAAAAAAAAUUAAUAAUUAGAAAUUAAUAAUUAGAUUUCAAUUUUAAAUUUAUUAUAGAAAAAUUAAUAAUUCGUGAGAAUUCAUUUUUACGAAAAUUCUUUAAAUUAUCUUCCUUUGUUUCUUUUCUUGUCAUGCAUUUGCCACACUGCGAUAUUUCGUAAUUUUUCUCUCUCUUCGUCGAAUAUCGUAUGAUUCUUUUCACGAAGGAGAUUUUAUUAUAGUAAAGCAUAUCCUCUCGAGCCGGUCACCGAUCACAAGCCGUGAAUUAGAGAUUUAAUCUGGCAGAUUAGAUUUUUUUUUCCCUAUCAUUCCGGUCGCGAAGCCGCGACGAAUAAAGAAGGAGAAGAAGGAGAAGAAGAAGAAGAAGCUUUUGGCUGGAGAUUCUCGAAAGGUGCAAGAGGGUAUCGGUCCCAUCGCUAUCCGGGGGUCACGUGCGCCGCGUCAGGGCCGUAGGGUGGCGUUCUUGCGCAGGGGUGCAAGAAGUAAGGGCUGUUUCGUGAGCUGCAUACGGGAGAACGGGAGAGCAGAGAGCCGAAUGAAAUUUGUUUAUUCUUUAUUCUCCCCCUUCUUGGUCCGUUUUUCACGGAAGCCUGAACCAUGGUCAUCGGCAUUCGCUCACCACGCACGGAUGAGGAUCCAGCUUCCAUUUCGCGUUUGCCCCGCUAAUUGAUUUAAUUGAUCUCACGUGCACGCUACGUCAUUAUUGAUGCGUGGUCCAGCGACACAUUAAAAUUACUGGGUCCAAUCGAAUUGGCAGGCAAUGACGCGAGAUGCCGAGACACACAGCGAGCGAAGCGGCAAUUGCAAGGGUAUCGUUUUGGAGCAACGUUUCAAGGUGGAAGAAUUAUAUUAUUUAAUACGAAGAAUUAAAUUCUUCGCAUUGACAUCUAACUCGUCUUCCUAUGUGCGGAAGGGAAGGAAGAUAAAUUGCACGCGAAAAGAGAGAGUAAAAAAGUCGAGAUAUCCAUCGAUGCCAAGAGAAUUGAAUUUCCAGUUCUAAUAUGAAAAAUAUUCCAAAGACAAACGACGAAGCAAAAGUAUUGUUCUGUUGUGAACUCUGUUAAAAAGAGGAAAUCCAAAUAUCCAAAUAUUUAUGCCAAAAGGAUUAAUUUCAUUUUUAACGAAAUACUCUUAAACGACGAAGCAAAAGCGCACAAGAAGAUUAAAUUUUCAUUUCCAACGAAAUACUCCAAAGACAAACGACAAAGCAAAAGUAUUCUGUCGUAGACUGUUAAAAAAAUAAUCCAAAUAUCCAUCGACGCCAAGAGGAUUAAAUUUCUAAAAAGUAAAUUCUAUUAAAAAAAAAAAAAAAUCAAAAUAUCAAAUCAUCACCAAGAAAAUUAAAUUUUUAAUAAAACACUUCAAAGACGAAUGACAAAGCAAAAGUAUUCUUUCCAAGUAUUCUGUCGUAAAUUCUGUUAAAAAAAAUCCAAAUAUUCAUUAAAUUUCCAUUUCUAACAAAAUACUCUCAAACGACGAAGCAAAAACGCACAAGAAGAUUAAAUUUCCAUUUCUAACGAAAUACUCCAAAGACGAACGAUAAAAGCAAAAGUAUCCUUUUCAAGUAUUCUGUCGUAAACUCUGUUAAAAUAAUCCAAAUAUCCAUCAAGAGGAUUAAAUUUCUAUUUCUAACGAAAUACUCCAAAGACGAACGACGAAGCAAAAGUAUCCUUUCCAAGUAUUCUGUCGUAAACUCUGUUAAAAAAAUAAUCCAAAUAUCCAUUAAAUAUUCAUCAAAUCCAAAUAUAUAUUAAGAGGAUUAAAUUUCCAUUUCUAAUGGAAAAAGACAAAGCAAAAGUGCAAAUAUAAUUUUCUAAUUCUGUCAUAAACUCUAUUAAAAAAAAAAAUUCAAUCAUCCAUCAAGAGGAUUAAAUUUCAAACAAAAUACUCCUAAGACGAACGACGAAGCAAAAUAAGAUUAAAUUUCCAUUUCUAACGGAAAAUAACAAAAGUAUUUUCACGCAAGUAUUUUUCAACUCUGUCAUAAACUCUAUUAAAAAAAAAAAAUCCAAAUAUCCAUCAAGAGGAUUAAAUUUCCAUUUCCAAUGAAAUACUCCAAAGACGAACGACAAAGCAAAAGUAUUCCUUCCUAGUAUUCUGUCAUAGACUCUAAAAAAAUAAUCCAAAUAUCCAUCAAGAGGAUUAAAUUUCCAUUUCUAACGAAAUACUCCAAAAAUAAACGACAAAGCAAAAGUAUCCUUUCCAAAUAUUCGUAAACUUUGUUAAAAAAAUCCAAAUGUCCAUCAAGAGGAUUAAAUUUCCAUUUCUAACGAAAUACUUCCAAGACGAACGACGAAGCAAAAUAAGAUUAAAUUUCCAAUUCUAACGGAAGAUAACAAAAGUAUUUUCACGCAAGUAUUUUCUGUCAUAAACUCUAUUAAAAAAAAAAAUCCAAAUAUCCAUCAAGAGGAUUAAAUUUCCAUUUCUAACGAAAUACUCCCAGGACGAACGACGAAGCAAAAUAAGAUUAAAUUUCCAUUUCUAACGGAAGAUAACAAAAGUAUUUUCACGCAAGUAUUUUCUGUCAUAAACUCUAUUAAAAAAAAAAAAUCCAAAUAUCCAUCAAGAGGAUUAAAUUUCCAUUUCUAACGAAAUACUCC